UGGGGAAUCUUGCGCAAUGGUCGAAAGACUGACGCAGCGACGCCGCGUGUGGGAUGAAGCCUUUCGGGGUGUAAACCACUGUUGCCCGGGACGAACGACUUCUUUCGAGAAGUGUGACGGUACCGGGUGAGGAAGCACCGGCUAACUCCGUGCCAGCAGCCGCGGUAAUACGGAGGGUGCGAGCGUUGUCCGGAAUCACUGGGCGUAAAGGGCGCGUAGGCGGCGCGGAGAGUCAACGGUGAAAGCUUGGGGCUCAACCCCGAGUCGGCCGUCGAUACUUCUGUGCUGGAGCACUGUAGAGGCAGAUGGAAUUCCGGGUGUAGCGGUGGAAUGCGUAGAGAUCCGGAAGAACACCGGUGGCGAAGGCGGUCUGCUGGGCAGUAGCUGACGCUGAUGCGCGACAGCGUGGGGAGCAAACAGGAUUAGAUACCCCCGUAGUCC
rnacentral:rRNA from 1 species